UCGUAGACUCCUACGGGAGGCAGCGAGUGGGAAUAUUGCACAAUGGGGAAACCCUGAUGCAGCAACGCCGCGUGGAGGAUGACACAUUUCGGUGCGUAAACUCCUUUAUAUAGGAAGAUAAUGACGGUACUAUAUGAAUAAGCGCCGGCUAACUCCGUGCCAGCAGCCGCGGUAAUACGGAGGGCGCAAGCGUUACUCGGAAUCACUGGGCGUAAAGAGCGUGUAGGCGGAUCGAUAAGUCAGGAGUGAAAUCCUAUGGCUCAACCAUAGAACUGCUCUUGAAACUGUCAAUCUAGAGUAUGGGAGAGGUAGAUGGAAUUUCUGGUGUAGGGGUAAAAUCCGUAGAGAUCAGAAGGAAUACCGAUUGCGAAGGCGAUCUACUGGAACAUAACUGACGCUGAGACGCGAAAGCGUGGGGAGCAAACAGGAUUAGAUACCCUGGUAG
rnacentral:rRNA from 1 species